AAAUUGAUCUCCAAUACUCUGAUAAAUUUGAGUUCUACAAAGGAAAUACCCCCAUCUCUAACUUCCUACCUCAAUCCCCAAGUAACCCAUCUGGUUUUUUCAAACCCAUCUGUCCCUACACAAUCUUGUUUAAGUUUCUUCAAAUUUCUCCAAAAAAAUCAAUCUUUCGAAAGACCCAAUCUUGAAUCACAUAUAGCCUUGUGUUUGCGCUUGUUUAAAG
rnacentral:misc_RNA from 1 species